rnacentral:rRNA from 1 species
GACAGAGGGUGCAAACGUUGUUCGGAAUUACUGGGCGUAAAGCGCGUGUAGGCGGUCUAGCAAGUCGGAUGUGAAAGCCCUUGGCUCAACUGAGGAAGUGCAUUCGAAACUGCGAGACUUGAGUCCCGGAGAGGAUGGUGGAAUUCUCGGUGUAGAGGUGAAAUUCGUAGAUAUCGAGAGGAACACCGGUGGCGAAGGCGGCCAUCUGGACGGUGACUGACGCUGAGACGCGAAAGCAUGGGGAGCAAACAGGAUUAGAAACCCCAGUAGUCC